rnacentral:rRNA from 1 species
AUUUGGGCAAUGGGCGAAAGCCUGACCCAGCGACGCCGCGUGAGGGAUGAAGUUCCUCGGAAUGUAAACCUCUGUCGAGUGGGACGAAUCCUUGGCGGUAAAUAAUCGUCAAGGUUGACGGUACCACUGGAGGAAGCUCCGGCUAACUCCGUGCCAGCAGCCGCGGUAAUACGGGGGGAGCAAGCGUUGUUCGGAGUUAUUGGGCGUAAAGGGCGUACAGGCGGCGAUGUAAGUCAGAUGUGAAAUGUUCCGGCUCAACCGGGACCCUGCAUUUGAUACUGCAUCACUUGAGUACAGGAGAGGAGAGCGGAAUUCCCGGUGUAGCGGUGGAAUGUGUAGAUAUCGGGAAGAACACCAGUGGCGAAGGCGGCUCCUCCUGCCAGAUACUGACGCUGACGCGCGAAU